UCCAGGUGAUAGAAGACCACUUCCAGGAAUCUCCCUCUGGGGCUGUUUGUCUCCUUCAUCUGCUUAGUCUUCUCCUCCAUCUUACUACUACCUGGCACAUGGAUGCUGCCAUCUUGGAUCACAAAGUGGAGAGCUCUCUUCUGGGGAUGACUAAAUGUGAUCUAAAGUAGGGGGACAAUCCCACAGCCCCCACGACGGUGGAAGCUUGAAGAUGAUGAGUAGCAGGCCUGGGAGCAUUGCUAAGGAGUCCUUGUCUGCGUCCAAACCUUGUUUCCAACUAAGGCAUCCCGUAGUGCCUCUAAGGUUACUCCCAGAGUCAUCUGAUUUUGCUGGUCAUCAAUACGCUGAAAGGGGCAUGCUAUUCGAAGCCACCAUGUCACCCAACAGUUCCCUGAGAAAUAUUUUGUUGCGUUUGACACAAAGUCCAGAAAUAAUCAUCACAGUGUGCCCGGAAUUGGAGCUCCUUCAACUGAGACCAUCCUCAUACCUGGAGAGAACGAAUUAGCUAAGUAGCUAUGCUCACCCCAGCAAAACAAAAUUACAUAUGUUGUAAAAAGAAAAAAAUCAGGUAACACUUUUAUUUCUUCCCACCUCAUGUGUUCCCUUUCUCAGAUAAUUCUGGCUUCUAUUUCACUGAAGAAUAUUAAAGCUACACCUUGUAUGUUCUUUUGUAAAAUUCUA